rnacentral:rRNA from 1 species
AUUGAACGCUGGCGGCAUGCUUUACACAUGCAAGUCGAACGGGGUGAGGGGGCAACCUCUCAUCUAGUGGCGAACGGGUGAGUAAUGCAUCGGAACGUGUCCCGUAGUGGGGGAUAACCCGGCGAAAGCCGGACUAAUACCGCAUAUGCUCUACGGAGGAAAGUGGGGGACCAGUAAUGGCCUCACGCUAUGGGAGCGGCCGAUGUCCGAUUAGCUUGUUGGUGAGGUAAUGGCUCACCAAGGCGACGAUCGGUAGCUGGUCUGAGAGGAUGAUCAGCCACACUGGGACUGAGACACGGCCCAGACUCCUACGGGAGGC